GGAAGGAGUUGGAGUAGAGGAGACAGUCUCGUUGCCAAGGUGAGAAACUCUAGAGUCGAGGGGGAGGGGGAGGAGGAGGUGGGGGCACGACGGCGACGAUUAGGGGGAGGACGACGACGACGAGCACGUCCCCUCUCCUCCGGUGCCGCGGUAGUGGUAGUGGUGGGACCUGUACCUGCAUCUGUACCCCCACCUCCGCCGCCUCUACCCGCGACUUGGCCGCCGCGUGCCCGUCGACGACACCCGUUGGCCACCGCCCGCCUCCAUGUAGUCGAUGCUGCGUGACGCCCCCCUGCGGCACGACACGAGGGCCGGUCCCCACGGGAUGAUGUUGGCGGCGUAGUCGUGGUGGCGGUUGGGGAUGUGGGCGCCGACGCUCAGGUAGUGGGCGACGGCGCUGCUGCUGGGAAGGAUCCAACAUUUGUCUUAGGUCUUUAAUGCCUUCUGACGAGUCGAACUUGGAUGUCUGAAUUAACUACAAAUGAUGCUCAGACAUCUGUUGUCGUUGUUAUGUGAACUUCUUUAAAACGUCAGUGUCCUAGUCAUAUAAUCCCUGCACGAACCAUUAAGUGAUCAAGGUUUCCGUCGCCGUUGUAGUCUAUACCAUCUUCUAUCGCUGUCUCAAACUUCCAUACACGUUUCUAGAAGAGGAGGCAGCGGCAGGCGCUGUUUCGACAACCCACGUAGGCAGGUAGUAUAAAUCUAGACUCACUUCUCCCGUAGGCAGGUAGAGUUUUCCUAUACCUACUGGUAGACUUCCAUACGUUCAAAGAAGGGUUUGAAUUGCUGCUCUAUGAUCCACUUUCUAUACGAGAGAUGUUCCUUUCCAACUCGUCGGAUCUCUUAAAUCAUGACUAGUACUCCACUAGCUGCGUCAGAUGGCGCUGGGCCACCCGCAGCACGAGAAGUUGUUGAGCCUCCGCCUGAAACAACACUUCGGGCCGCUGGCGGAGUGUGUCUACUAACAGGUCCACUAACGCUACGGCCUCCAGCGGCUCCACCUCCUGGAACUGCAGUGGCAGACCUCCUGAGCUGCGGUGGCAGAGCUCCAACGGCUCCACCUCCUGGAGCUACGGUGGCAGAGCUCCAACGGUUCCACUUCCUGGAGCUGCGGAACCAUCUAUGUAGAUCUCUUCACCAGUACAAUCAAACCACCACCUUGCGAUCCCUUCCAUAGGUGGAAAGCCACUGCCAACACACGCAGACUACAUAUUUA
rnacentral:rRNA from 1 species